rnacentral:rRNA from 1 species
AUUGAACGCUGGCGGCAGGCCUAACACAUGCAAGUCGAGCGGCAGCGGAAAGUAGCUUGCUACUUUGCCGGCGAGCGGCGGACGGGUGAGUAAUGUCUGGGAAACUGCCUGAUGGAGGGGGAUAACUACUGGAAACGGUGGCUAAUACCGCAUAACGUCGCAAGACCAAAGUGGGGGACCUUCGGGCCUCACGCCAUCGGAUGUGCCCAGAUGGGAUUAGCUAGUAGGUGGGGUAAUGGCUCACCUAGGCGACGAUCCCUAGCUGGUCUGAGAGGAUGACCAGCCACACUGGAACUGAGACACGGUCCAGACUCCUACGGGAGGCAGCAGUGGGGAAUAUUGCACAAUGGGCGCAAGCCUGAUGCAGCCAUGCCGCGUGUGUGAAGAAGGCCUUCGGGUUGUAAAGCACUUUCAGCGAGGAGGAAGGCAUCACACUUAAUACGUGUGGUGAUUGACGUUACUCGCAGAAGAAGCACCGGCUAACUCCGUGCCAGCAGCCGCGGUAAUACGGAGGGUGCAAGCGUUAAUCGGAAUUACUGGGCGUAAAGCGCACGCAGGCGGUUUGUUAANUCANAUGUGAAAUCCCCGCGCUUAACGUGGGAACUGCAUUUGAAACUGGCAAGCUAGANUCUUGUAGAGGGGGGUAGAAUUCC